CAUCACACCAUUUCUUGCAUUCUAAUGCAUUCUCACAUCUUUACAAAAUCCCCCCGUUCCGCCACACGCCGUGGAUGUGCUCGUUUUGUCGACUUACAGUUCGGUAUUUCUGCACGUUUGACUUGUCCAGUGAGAAGAUGCACGAUAAAGAUGCAGUGUUUUGCAUGCUCUAAUUUGCACGUUUUAUUACCAGGAGUCAGUGGACACAAUAAAAAUGGAUGCGUCGGGAGAUUUGUCUCUUUACGAUGCAUCGACCUGCCGCUCUGCUUUCAACAGGAGGCUGUCGGUCUGUGUGAAGGCUCUGUCGCCUGGAAAGAAAAGGCUCUAUGUUCAGUGCAGUUGUGCUGGUGCUUGGCUGCCUGCUGCAGAGGAAGCUAGUGACCACAGAGGGGCAUCGUGGGACCAACCGGCAUGUCUUCUAUGCAGUGCGAAUGGACGGAGGCAUCCGAGCUGCCAGAGCUCUGGCCGCGCAGCACAGACUGGAGUUCAUACAACAGUGUUAGGGGCAGUGUCCGCUGGCCUGGUGUGAGGUGGUGUGCAGAGCGGGCUCUGGGGAACGGGGACGCAAACUCAUUUCAACCUUGGCCCCGCUGCCGCUGCAAUAGCUGCCGCUUCCGCUACUGCCGCCGCAGCCGCCGCUACUGCCGCUACUGCCGCUACUGCCGCUACUGCCGCUACCCCUUCCGCUGCUCCUGCCGCUGCUGCUACUGCCGCUGCCCCUUCCGCUGCUCCUGCCACUGCUGCUACUGCCGCUUCCGCUGCCGCCUGGUCAUGAAUAAAACAUCUCUUUGACCUUUAUCAGGAGUGUAUUGGACAGUCCACCCCCGUCUCCGUCUUCCUCUCUGCCUGUCUCUCUCUCAUUGUCCCUCAUGUAUGCACACAAACACCUCUGCCUCUUCCUGCAUUGUUUUCUGCUCUCUUUUAUAAACCACUGAUAGUCCCCCGAUGCACUGAUCGCUUGUAAUUAUGAAAACAAAAGCAAAAACAUGUUGCCAUGUACAUGUAUUUAUGCAUAAACAAGGUACUGUGAAACACAUUUUUGAAAAUAACUGUAGUUUUGUUAGUAGGGGUGUAAAUCACAAUUUUGAUUCAAUUCAGGGUCCUGCAAUAUGAGACGAUAUCAUGACCAUUUAACACUAUCAGUUGCAUCAACUGACAAAAAGCAACUCAAAUAUGACAACUUUAUUACUAGGCUCUUACAAACAUUUAAAUAACAAAAAAGAAUAAAAAUAAAUCUCUGUUUCUCUGAUGUAAAAUGCCACAUUUCUCAUUUUUAG
rnacentral:lncRNA from 1 species